GCCUGGUCCUGCUGGGAGGGGGAAGCACGGGACGCCACCAGAAUCCAUCAGCCCAGUAAAGUGGCGGGAACGGCCGCAGGCAAGACGGCCGGAGCAGGAACUGCGGGCGGAGAAGGGACCACAGGACGGCCCCGGAAGGCGGGAAGAGGACGGCUGGGAACCAGCGAGGCAGACGCCUCGNCCGCACCAGACUGGGGAGAACGCCAGUUUGGUUGUGGAGCCGGCGAGGCUGUUUGGAGAGUGGAAAAGGCGGAAUUCUGGGGCGGGGAUGAGAGACACGGGCACAUCUAAGGUGGCUUCAUCAGCUUUCUACGAAAAAUCUGUUUUAACACCUCUCCUGAACAAUUUGCUGUGGCUGGACAGGGUAGAGUUUGGAGUGGAAAAACCUUCAGUCCCACCUGCACCCACAGAGGCUCAAAACCCCAUGAUCGCUUGACUGGGCACCUCACAAAGGGUACGGACCCUCGAUGAACCACCACAACGUCACCUCCCCAGCUCUCUCUGCUGCUGGAUCAAGAAACCUGGCCGGGGGGGGGGCACAUGCGUGUGGUUCGAAGAUGGCGGCGUCCCGCUAAGGCUCUGGACUCCACGGUUCAAAAAAGGCACCAAAUCCGCUCCCGGAGAANAAGAAGAACCUGGUUUUUAUACCCUGCUUUUCUCUGCCGAAGCUGACUCAAAGCGGCUUACAAGGCUAUUUUUCGCCCGAAGGCUUACAUUUAUCUAUCUUCCACAUCUUCUUAAAAGACAGAUCAUAAUUUGUACAAUUGUACAACUUCAGAGUUAGGGUAAAAGCAGGGACAGGUCUGUGAAAAGGAGGGAACCUGUGGGUGAUAGUGAAGACUGCACCUCCAAAGACUCACAGCUGAGGCGUACACCAACCAGCAUGCACACACACACACACACGGCAUUCUUGAAGAAACCUGGACUGUGCUGUUUGCCUUAGAGCUGCUAAAGUCCUCUUUUUAAAAUUUUAUUUUAUUNUGAAAUACAUAAAAAGUAUAUCUUAUUCCCAAACGGGUGUGUUCAUAUAGAUAACCUUUGUUCAUUNCAUNUUGGCNUCCCCCCUUCUUCAAAAAUUUCUUCNAGAUUUCUUNUUUCUUGCCCCACCUGGUUUCCUUCUUCUUCCAACCUGUCNUCUUUCAUCUUUAUUCUUCAAAUCCANNNAUAACAAGNUCAUUCUCUAAUUCUUGUAGAAAGUCAAUAAAGGGUUUCCAGUUCUUAAGAAACUUAUCCGC
rnacentral:lncRNA from 1 species